rnacentral:rRNA from 1 species
GACGUAGGGCGCGAGCGUUGUCCGGAUUUAUUGGGCGUAAAGGGCGCGUAGGCGGCUUUGUAAGUCGGGGGGUGAAAGCUUGUGGCUCAACCACAGAAUUGCCUUCGAUACUGCAUGGCUUGAGACCGGAAGAGGUAAGUGGAACUGCGAGUGUAGAGGUGAAAAUUCGUAGAUAUUCGCAAGAACACCAGUGGCGAAGGCGGCUUACUGGUCCGGUUUCUGACGCUGAGGGCGGCGAAAAGCGUGGGGGAGCAAAACAGG